GGACAACAUUUCCUCUGGACAGGUUUUGAUAAAUCUCCCCCAUUAGGUGAACGCCAUCAUCGGGUUCCUGAUACAAAAGAGGGGGGAGAAGCAGCACUCUCAAAAAGAAGGAUUCAAGUAUGUGGGUGCCAGCAGUCUCAGGGACCCUGGUCCUGGGCCCAUAAAUGCAGACAAAAGGAACGGCUGCAGCACCCCAAGUUACGUGUAAAGAAAUCAUUGACUGCAAGCAGUAGACAACCGUGAAGAAUACAUUUUAAAUUACAAAACCACAGAACUGUGUUGAAAUAUCAUUCUGUCCAUAAAUAUGAAUCGCCACCUAAUAUAAAAUGCAUUCAGACCCUUUUACUUUUUUAUUUUUUUUUACAUUUUGCUAUGUUGCAGCCUUAUGUUAAAAAAAUCUCUCCCCAUCAUUCUGCAAUCAGUACCCCGUAAUACUAAAGUGAA